CCUGACUGCUAUCGGAUUGAUACUAAGCCAUGCGAGUCAUUGUAGCAAUGCAAGGCAGACGGCUCAGUAACGCGUAGUCAACCUACCCUAUGGACGGGAAUAAUCUCGGGAAACUGAGGCUAAUUCCAGAUAGAACACUAUGCCUGGAACGGUUUGUGUUCCAAACGAUUUAUCGCCAUAGGAUGGGACUGCGGCCUAUCAGUUUGUUGGUGAGGUAAUGGCCCACCAAGACUAUUACAGGUACGGGCUCUGAGAGGAGUAGCCCGGAGAUGGGUACUGAGACACGGACCCAGGCCCUAUGGGGCGCAGCAGGCGAGAAAACUUUGCAAUGUGCGAAAGCACGACAAGGUUAAUCCGAGUGGUUCCUGCUAAAGGAACCUUUUGACGGUCCUAAAAACACCGUUGAAUAAGGGGUGGGCAAGUUCUGGUGUCAGCCGCCGCGGUAAAACCAGCACCUCAAGUGGUCAGGAUGAUUAUUGGGCCUAAAGCAUCCGUAGCCGGCUCUGUUAGUUUUCGGUUAAAUCUGUACGCUCAACGUACAGGCUGCCGGGAAUACUACAGAGCUAGGGAGUGGGAGAGGUAGACGGUACUUGGUAGGAAGGGGUAAAAUCCUUUGAUCUAUUGAUGACCACCUGUGGCGAAGGCGGUCUACUAGAACACGUCCGACGGUGAGGGAUGAAAGCUGGGGGAGCAAACCGGAUUAGAUACCCGGGUAGUCCCAGCUGUAAACCAUGCAAACUCAAUGAUGCACUGGCUUGAAGCCAAUGCAGUGUUGCAGGGAAGCCGUUAAGUUUGCCGCCUGGGAAGUACGUACGCAAGUAUGAAACUUAAAGGAAUUGGCGGGGGAGCACCACAAGGGGUGAAGCCUGCGGUUC
rnacentral:rRNA from 1 species